CGACUCGUAAACGACUUUAUUGUCAGCCACGCUAAUCUUGUAGUUCUAGAGCAAAUAAUAAUACAAGUGAAAACAUAAAAAAGCUUAAACAGACUGGACGCUAAACACACCUUGGUUUAUGGACAUUAUUUGAGAUCUACCGGCUGGAAUUAUUUGGCUAUGCAGAAGUCUAAUUUCACCACACGACAACACCACAAACAUCAGGUGGAGUCAGUGUCACAUCAUUAAAGCUGCACAAGGCCAAGCACUUGAAACUGGGACUCUUUAUCAUGUGUUUGCUUUGAAUUUUAUCAAAUGGAUUUUCAUAUGUGUUUUAAGUGAUCCUGUUUGUCACUUCAUGGAUUAUAAUCCACACUAUUCUCACUAUUCUCCAAUAUUUGAUACAUAAAUUUUCUCUCUUGACCUGAAAGAAUGCCAGUGUUGGAUAAUAAACAUCCUGCUCCUCUGUUAGAAAGAAAAC
ensembl:lncRNA